UGGCGGACGGGUGAGUAAUGUCUGGGAAACUGCCCGAUGGAGGGGGAUAACUACUGGAAACGGUAGCUAAUACCGCAUAACGUCGCAAGACCAAAGAGGGGACCUUCGGGCCUCUUGCCAUCGGAUGUGCCCAGAUGGGAUUAGCUAGUAGGUGGGGUAAGGGCUCACCUAGGCGACGAUCCCUAGCUGGUCUGAGAGGAUGACCAGCCACACUGGAACUGAGACACGGUCCAG
rnacentral:rRNA from 1 species